AUUAAGUGACCAAAAACGUCACAGCUUUCAUAUCUCUUCUUUUCUUUUUCCCAAAAUCCCCAAAUAAAAAAUUUUAGGGUUCUUGCUUGUUCUUUCCAAAUUUUCUCCAUUCUUCUUCGUUCAGUGUAAAGAGAUAGAUAGUAGGAGUCAUAACCACAAAUGGAUUUAGAUCGUGGAAUACCCAGAAAGUAUCAAUGUGGGUUAUUGACAAUUAUGUUGACUUUAAAAAAAAAAGAAAAUUAUGUCCAUGUGGAGCUAUCUUUGGUCCAGACCAUAUGUUUAAGUGGGCAGAUGAAGCUACCGUAGAGAAAGAAUUAAUGGAGCCGAAGCAAGAUGUUCUUGAUAUGAAGAAAGACAUUGGAGAGAGAAUUAGAAGUGUUGUUUGUGUCUUAAGCUCAAGUUGUUGCUGUUAAUAUUUUAUCAUUUAUGAUUCCUACCUUGUGUGUCGUAUGAGUUGUUUGUGUCUCAGAUUGUUGCUGUUAACAUUUUAUCAUUUA